UACGUAGGUGGCAAGCGUUGUCCGGAUUUACUGGGCGUAAAGAGCGCGCAGGCGGUCGUUCAAGUCGCGUGUGAAAGCCCCCGGCUCAACUGGGGAGGGUCACGCGAUACUGAUCGACUCGAAGGCAGGAGAGGGAAGUGGAAUUCCCGGUGUAGUGGUGAAAUGCGUAGAUAUCGGGAGGAACACCGGUGGCGAAGGCGGCUUCCUGGACCGACACUGACGCUG
rnacentral:rRNA from 1 species